rnacentral:rRNA from 1 species
AAUCAGGGGCUCAACCCCUGACCUGCAUCCGAUACGGUCCAGCUAGAGUUUGGUAGGGGAGACUGGAAUUCCUGGUGUAGCGGUGGAAUGCGCAGAUAUCAGAGAACACCGAUGCGAAGCAGGUCUCUGGGCCAAUACUGACACUGAGGAGCGAAAGCGUGGGGAGCGAACAGAUUAGAUACCCUGGUAGUCCACGCCGUAAACGGUGGGCGCUAGUUGUGGGGAACUUUCCAUGUUCUCUGUGACGCAGCUAACGCAUUAAGCGCCCCGCCUGGGGAGUACGGCCGCAAGGCUAAAACUCAAAGGAAUUGACGGGGGCCCGCACAAGCGGCGGAGCAUGCGGCUUAAUUCGAUGCAACGCGAAGAACCUUACCUGGGCUUGACAUCAGAUCUAAAACUGCAGAGAUGCAGUGUCCGCAAGGGGGUCUGACAGGUGGUGCAUGGUUGUCGUCAGCUCGUGUCGUGAGAUGUUGGGUUAAGUCCCGCAACGAGCGCAACCCUCGUUCUGUG